GCGCUCGUAGCUCAGCCGGAUAGAGCAUCAGACUUCGAAUCUGAGGGUCGGGAGUUCGAAUCUCUCCGAGCGCGCCA
rnacentral:tRNA from 5 species